rnacentral:rRNA from 1 species
CUAUACAUGCAGUCGAACGCUUUGAUUUUCACCGGAGCUUGCUCCACCGAAAAUCAAAGAGUGGCGGACGGGUGAGUAACACGUGGGCAACCUGCCCAACAGAGGGGGAUAACACUUGGAAACAGGUGCUAAUACCGCAUAAUUUGUUUUCCCGCAUGGGAGAAUAAUAAAAGACGCUUCGGUGUCACUGUUGGAUGGGCCCGCGCUGCAUUAGUUAGUUGGUGGGGUAAUGGCCUACCAAGACCGUGAUGCAUAGCCGACCUGAGAGGGUGAUCGGCCACACUGGGACUGAGACACGGCCCAGACUCCUACGGGAGGCAGCAGUAGGGAAUCUUCGGCAAUGGACGAAAGUCUGACCGAGCAACGCCGCGUGAGUGAAGAAGGUUUUCGGAUCGUAAAACUCUGUUGUUAGAGAAGAACAAGUGGGAGAGUAACUGUUCCCACCUUGACGGUAUCUAACCAGAAAGCCACGGCUAACUACGUGCCAGCAGCCGCGGUAAUACGUAGGUGGCAAGCGUUGUCCGGAUUUAUUAGGCGUAAAGCGAGCGCAGGCGGUUUCUUAAGUCUGAUGUGAAAGCCCUCGGCUCAACCGAGGAAGGUCAUUGGAAACUGGGGAACUUGAAUGCAGAAGAGGAGAGUGGAAUUCCAUGUG